CGGAGGGUGCGAGCGUUAUCCGGAAUUACUGGGUUUAAAGGGUGCGUAGGCGGCUUUGUAAGUCAGGAGUGAAAGUUUGCGGCUCAACCGUAAAAUUGCUUUUGAUACUGCGAGGCUGGAAUCAGGAUGAGGUCAGCGGAAUGUGGCAUGUAGCGGUGAAAUGCAUAGAUAUGCCAUAGAACACCUAUUGCGAAGGCAGCUGGCUAGACCUGUAUUGACGCUGAGGCACGAAAGCGUGGGGAGCGAACAGGAUUAGAUACCCUGGUAGUCCACGCCCUAAACGAUGCUUACUCGACGUGCGAGACUAGAUCUGGUGCGUCCAAGGGAAACCGUUAAGUAAGCCACCUGGGGAGUACGACCGCAAGGUUG
rnacentral:rRNA from 1 species